rnacentral:lncRNA from 1 species
AUUAACUAUAUAUACUACACCUUCCUUCGUCGUUUUUAAUAUGAAAAUUUGAAACACUAUUGUACAAUAUUUAAAGUUUUCUAUAACCAAAAAAAAAGAAGAAAAAACACUAUCGAUCUAUAUAGAUCAAACAUGAUGAGAAAAUCCAAUCAAAUUUCCUUCUUUGUUCUUAUUAUCUUCACAAUUCUUCUACUAGGUAUAUAUGCUUACAUUUUUCUGAAACUGUAUUUACAUUUUACAUAUAAAUUUCUAAGAAUAAACGAGGGUUUGAUAUCAUAUUAAACAUUUUAAAAUAAUUUAAUUUCUCCUAAUUGAUUAAAUACUUUUUUCAUGCAAACUUUUAAAUUUCUUCACAUAUAUUGGUUAAUUUCCCUACUUUAUAAAUUUAUAUAGUCUCAACAUUUUUAAAAUAAUUGUGAUGUCAAGUGAUGAUGGAAACAUAUUUCAACUGUUUCCUUUUUUCAUCAAUUUUUUUCUUCCUUUCAAUAAGUAAGUGUUUCAAAUUAAAAAUAUUUUGUUUCAUAAAUAUUGGUGUUAGAACAGUUUCUAAGGAAAAUUAUAUGAUACAUUCAUAUAAUUUUCAGUUACUAGAUAUCAAUAAUUAUAAACAUAUGUUCCAUUACAGUAAAAAGUCAAAGUAAUUAUAUUUUCAUUUUUUAAAUAUAUGAACUAAUAAUUAAGAAUACUUUUUGUAAUUGUAACAGGAGUGAAAGGUUUUGAUUUUAGAAAUAAGUGUGGUGCUGUUUUAAGCUAUACUGGUUGUACUGCAAAAAAUUGUAAGGAGAUGUGUGCGAAGAGAAAUCUAAAAGGACAACCCCACUGCGUCACUUCACCUGGCGGACCGUAUAAAGGACAUCAACAAUGUGCAUGCACCUGGAAAUGCUAAUUAGUAUUAGGGCUAAUAACAACAAGUUAACAAGAAUAAUACUAGUAUUAAGAACUUUAUAAUGAAAUAAUGCAAUAUUUGAUGUGGAUUUUGUAGUCCUAACAUAUACAGUAUGUGUCAUUGUUGAUGUUUGGGGUUAGAAUGUGGUGUAAUAAUCGUUUAAUUAUGACAAUAUACUUUAAAUUAUCUUUAGUCUUCAAGAUGAACAGAGU